rnacentral:rRNA from 1 species
UACAGAGGGCUCAAGCGUUGUUCGGAUUCAUUGGGCGUAAAGGGUGUGUAGGUGGCGCGCUAAGUCGGGUGUGAAAUUUCGGAGCUUAACUCCGAAACUGCAUUCGAUACUGGCGUGCUUGAGGACUGGAGAGGAGACUGGAAUUCAUGGUGUAGCAGUGAAAUGCGUAGAGAUCAUGAGGAAGACCAGUGGCGAAGGCGGGUCUCUGGACAGUUCCUGACACUGAGACACGAAGGCCAGGGGAGCAACCGGG